ACGCACGCUGGCGGCGUGCUUAACCCCUGCCAGUCGCACGGAAAGGCCCUGCUUUUGUGGGGUGCUCGAGUGGCGAACGGGUGAGUAACACGUGAGUAACCUGCCCUUGACUUUGGGAUAACUUCAGGGAACUGGGGCUAAUACCGGAUAGGAGCUCCUGCUGCAUGGUGGGGGUUGGAAAGUUUCGGCGGUUGGGGAUGGACUCGCGGCUUAUCAGCUUGUUGGUGGGGUAGUGGCUUACCAAGGCUUUGACGGGUAGCCGGCCUGAGAGGGUGACCGGCCACAUUGGGACUGAGGUACGGCCCAGACUCCUACGGGAGGCAACAGGGGGGAAUAUUGCACAAUGGGCGGAAGCCUGAUGCAGCAACGCCGCGUGCGGGAUGACGGCCUUCGGGUUGUAAACCGCUUUCGCCUGUGACGAAGCGUGAGUGACGGUAAUGGGUAAAGAAGCACCGGCUAACUACGUG
rnacentral:rRNA from 1 species